rnacentral:rRNA from 1 species
UACAGAGGUCUCGAGCGUUAGGCGGAAUCACUGGGCUUAAAGCGCGUGUAGGCGGAUCGUUAAGUGCCUUGUGAAAUCCCACGGCUUAACCGUGGAACUGCUUGGCAUACUGGCGAUCUUGAGCCAUCUAGGGGCCUGCGGAACAAACGGUGGAGCGGUGAAAUGCGUAGAUAUCAGGAGGAACACCGGUGGCGAAGGCGGUGGUCUGGGCCGGCACUGACGCUGAGGAGCGAAAGCGUGGGUAGCAAACAGG